UACAGAGGUCUCAAGCGUUGUUCGGAUUCAUUGGGCGCAAAGGGUGCGUAGGUGGCGCCAUAAGUCGGGUGUGAAAUCUCGGGGCUUAACUCCGAAACUGCAUUCGAUACUGUGGUGCUCGAGGACUGGAGAGGAGACUGGAAUUCAUGGUGUAGCAGUGAAAUGCGUAGAGAUCAUGAGGAAGACCAGUGGCGAAGGCGGGUCUCUGGACAGUUCCUGACACUGAGGCACGAAGGCCAGGGGAGCAAACGGG
rnacentral:rRNA from 1 species